rnacentral:lncRNA from 1 species
AGAACUAAAGUUUUCUCGGAAAAAUAAAUGAAAAACAGAACUAUUUUCCUUAAAUAAACAUAAACUAACUGUUUUACCAAAGGGGAUUGUACAACAGAUGAAUAGAUUAAAAGAAAAAAUUUGGUACGAGUUAUUGCCAAAAGGAUUAAGUAAGAAGAAGAAGAAAAAGAUAGAACAUAUCAAUUUAUUCAAAAAACAUAUAAAUACACGAAUUUACCUUAAAGAAAACAAACCAACAAAUAUUGAGAAUGAAACUUACAUAUGCCAAUAUCAAAAUUAGUCAACAUUCUAAUAGAGGAAUAAAUCCAAUUACCUCUCAACCCUAGAUGAAGUUGCAAGUAGAGAGGAUUGGGUUUGGAUUAAUACAAAUGUUGGGGAGAGAUGAGGAGAGAGGGUAGGAGGAAGAGUUAAAGAAAGAAGAGCAGUAGCUACUUCAAACUUAGGCAACACUACUGAGAGAGGUUGUAAUCGAGAUGCUUCGUCAUUUGGAUAUGAAUAUCAAAUAAACGAACAGAUCUAGGAGUUGAAUUUACCUUGUUUCCAAAAUUUGCCAUACAAUUUGACAGGUCAAAGGGUGUCAUAAUCAUACCAAAAUAUAAUUGACAAAGUAAAUUGAAGUCAUAAUGAAAAACAUAAUGUAGCAAAUCUUUGUCCACACAAUACAAUGGAAGAGAUUCUCAAGUGAAAAAUGACAGAAAAAGUAUAUUAAAGAAGUAUAGGGAGAAGCGCACCUUCCCUUUGACCAGUAUUUUUUGAAAGAUCUAGACCAUUGUUGAGAUUGCUGCAAGAAAAUUAGACAUAAAAGUAUAGGUAAAUUAUAAAUAGGUUAAACUAUAGAUUAACAUUAUACAGAACCAGACCACAUUUAAACAACUCAGGAAAAAGGAAACAACUCAGGAAAAAGGAGACAACCAUUUUGGGUUAGCUCUCAGGAACUUAUGAUAGUAACUAACAAGGACAAGGGAGAAAUAAGUACCUAAGGCAGUCAAGCAGCAUGCAUAUAACUUCAGGCUUCUGGUUAUGAUAUUUGAGCAUUGUAGUUAAUGAAGUACUAGCAUAUGACUGCACCCCUUCAUCUGAUGAAUUAAUAAGGUGAACUAAAGAAGGCAAAACUAAUCCUGGAUCUGCAAAAAAAGAAAAGGAGAGAGGAUUCAGCAAUGUGAACCUGCUGAUCAAAACAUGACUCUUUACUAACAAAGGUAACAAAAAGAAGUUUUGGCCAUUGACACAUACUUUAAGCAGAAAGUUUCUCAAUUCUUCAUAAAUCAAGAAAACAUUAGAAUAUAUAGCAUUAUGGAACUAGCCAGGUGUCCAUCCCCACCCUCUAUGUUGUAUCAAAAUUCUAAAUUAAAUUGCCAGUAGACCAUAGAUAUCAACCACUAUGACAAUCAAUUGGAGAUGAAAGGAAUUAAAUAUGUAGAUGAUGUUUUUCUUUGUUUCUCCCUUUUUCUUAAAUAAGAAAAUAAUAAUUAACAAAGGUGUGAUAGUUUUGGGAGGAAGCAUCUUCCCCCAAAUAAAAUAAGAAUGAAACAAAUAGAAAAGAACAAUUAAUAGACCAAAAACGCUAUCUCUAAUCAUGUUGACCCAACUAAAAUCAAAACACAACCUUUAAAACAAGACUCUUAUAACUAGGGGUGAGCAAUCGGUCGGUUUGGCUCCAAAACGAACUGAAAUUGAAAAACCGAAUGAUCUACAAUUCUACACCAAAUUGAUUUGUAGGCAUAACCAAAUUGAACCAUUUACUGGUCCGGUUCAAUGAAAACCAAACAAUCCUCAUCUCCAAAAGCCCCCAAUUUCUUAGAUCUCCAAAAAUCCAGAAACAAAAUGCAGUCGUGAAUCCCAGCAGGCAACAUUUCAAAGGCAGAAACAAGCCAACAAUCCUUUUUUAUUUCUAACACAAACAUCAACAAUAAAACAAACCCAACAGAAAUAAACCCAAAAUUAUCAAGGAAUGUACAGUAGAUCCAUCGCACAGAGAAUGCACAAUAUAUAACCAUACAUCACAGCCUUUUGAUAUAGUCAAACACAAUCAAAAUAAAAAAUUGGAAUCAUAGUUCUAAAAUCUGAAGGCAGCAAAAUAGCAGCAACCAAAACUAGAAGCAAGAGAAUAACAGCAACUAAAACUGGAUACGAACGGCAAUCUGGAGGACAACAUGAAGCAAGUGUGUGUCUCACACUGGCUGUACACAUGGUCGGUUGUGCUAGCUAAACUCAUGCUUGUCACAUCAUCUGCACGCAUGAAGAGGAAAAGAAGAAGAGGAGGAGUUGAGUGUAGUGCAGAUGCGCUAUCAAGCAAGUGAGGAAGGCAGAUGAGACAGCAAAGCUAGAGAGGAGAGGUUUAGCCUUUGAAGGAUAAGGAAUAAGGAUUCUAGGUUUUCAUUUAAGAUUGAUAUAUAUAUAUGUAUAUAUGUGUGUGUGUAAAAUAUCCUCUUGUGACGUUAGACGGAUUAUAAUGUCAUAGGUAUUUCUAUUUUAGAAUUCAGAAAGCAAUUAAAUAAUUUUUUGCUAGUAUGCUUUGCUUGUUGUAUUAGUACCUUUUAUAUAUAUACAACUUGCAAGGUACUAAUACAACAAGCAAAACAUACUAGCAAAAUUAUUUAAUUGCUUUCUGAAUUCUGAAAUAGAAAUAUAUAUAUAUAUAUAUUGAGACUAUAUUAGUUGGAGCUUCUGUGUUCCGUGAGCAUCAGGUUGGACUUUUGACUUUGAAUCACAAGGCCAAAAGGUACCUUUAAUAAGACAAUUAUGAAUUAUUAUUACAAUGGAGAAUGAAAAGAGAUGCAAAAUGAUAAUGAGAAUUACCCGUCCACAAAUACACUCUAGCAAUAAACACAACAGCAAGAACCCAAAAAAUAGCAUCUUAAAUAUUACAAGCUAUCAAAUUUAACAUAAAGUAUAUUUCAAUACCUUUCCUACGCUUAGAAUGGAUUUGAUAAAAAAAAAAACUCCUUUAUCAAAUGGCAGAAACUGAACUUUUUAUAUGGCAUUGAUAGCAAGGUGAAACCAAAUAUGUUGAGAGAAGCAACUCACUUAACCUAGUACUAGAAGGUUUGGCAACAAUAGCACAUAUGAAUUAUGUUUCCUUUGCUCAAUUCUUAACAACAUCAGAAUGAAACAUUCAUCCAACCAGAAGUAUGUAAGGAAACUUAUCAAAAGGGCAUGUUAUGGUCCCGGGUUGUGGAUCUGGUUAUGGGUCGGUGGGCUAAGGGUAUGGCGGGAGUUUGAGUGUUUGAGUUAAGAGUCUUUUUACGACCUCUGGUCAUUAAUAAUUCAGACUCUAAAAGAGGGAACCUAAAACCUCUGAGACUUAAAGCACUCAAGACUUAACUGAUUUUGGAAGUUGUGACUCUUCAUUAAUGUUAUUGCUUAAAUACAGAAAGGAAGUAUAACUGCUUUCUACAUCAAAGGAGCACUACUUCAACAUGGAGAAUACCCUCCUACAAACAGGGAAUCAUUAAAACAAUUAACUAAAAGAUAGCUGAAAGAUAACUGAAAUAUUUGACUAAUUCAGAGGCUCAAUAUAUGGCUGCUUUGACUUGGAUCCAUGACUGAAUCGGGUAUAGACUUGCAGUGGUUAGGUAACAUUACUUCCCGCCCCCAAAGGAAGCUUGUCCUCAAGCUGAAAAUCUAGAUAUUUGGCAGAGAAUGCCUGUACCUUCUCCCAUGAAGUAUCGGCAGGAGAAAAAUGAUUCUAGUGGACGAGAACCUUUUGGCAGCGGAAAAGAUGGCAGCAAUGGUGUAGGAGCAUACUGACCUUCAUGAUAAGGUUUAGACCUGAAACAUGAAACACUGGAUGGAGCUUUGAAUCGGCAGGAAGAUCCAACUUAUAGGCCAUGGAACCGACACGUUCCACUAUCACAAAGAGGCCAUAGAAUCGUGCCGAAAGUUUCUGAUUCCUCCUUUUAGCAACUGAAGUUUGACGAUAAGGCUGUAAACAUAGUAGAACUUUAUCCCCCACCUUAAACUCCAAAGGGCGAUGAGAUUGAUCAUAUGUAUGCUUCAUUUUUUGUUGGGCCUGCAGUAGGUUUUCACGAAGUGAGAGCAGCAUCUCAUCUCUUGUCCUUAAAACAGUAUCAACAGCUUCAAUGGUGGAACUACCAGGUAGAUAUGACAAUAAUCUGGGAGGAGGACAGCCAUAAACCGUUUCGAAAGGAGUAGUUUUAAGAGAGGAAUGGUAGCUGGUAUUGUAACAGAACUCAGCCCAGGACAACCAGUCAAUCCAUUUGUUCGGAGUAGAACUUGUGAAACAGCGAAGAUACAUUUCAAUGGUGCAGUUUACCACCUUCGUUUGGCCAUCCAACCGUGGGUGAUAAGAGGAACUGAAACACAGCUUGGUACCACUCAAACGGAAAAGUUCUUUCCAAAAGGAACUUGUGAAUGUCACAUCUCUGUCAACCACAGUUUCUGGCAAGCCAUGUAAUUUAAAAAUAUUGUCAAAUAAAGAGCGAGAAACACUUACAGCUGUAUAUGGAUGAUACAAAGCCGGAAAAUGCCCAUACUUCGAAAAUCUGUCGACGACUACCAGCAAUACAUUUUUCCCAUGCGAAGUUGGAAUUCCCUCGAUGAAGUCAAUAGAGAUAUCAGCCCAAACUUGCAUUGGAAUGGGGAGAGGGUGAAGGAGUCCCGCCGGUUGCAAAGUCUCUAUUUUAUGCCUUUGACAUGUAUCACAAGAGCGCACAAAAUCUCACACAUUGCUUCAUUCCAAACCAACAAAAAAUCCCUUGUAAUUCUGUACAGGGCUUUUUGGUAUCCUUCAUGGCCCUAGUUAUGGAGAGCACUAACCACUAGUUGAAUAGAUGGGGAGUUAUGAGAAAGGUAAACUCGGUUGUUGUAAAAGAGCAAACCAUUCUUAAAACUCCAUUUGGAAGUGGCUGCUCCAGUAUGAAUCGCAGCGAUUCGUUUCUGCACUUCUUCUGAAUCAUGCUGCUCUUUCUGAAUAUUGUCCAAACAGGCUUAGUUGGGGCAUAGAAACUACCAAGAUGGCAGAUUGAUCAACAUCCCGUCGAAAGAGUGCGUAAGCAACUAUAUUGGAUUUUCCAGCUUUGUAUUCAACCGUAAAACAAAAGCCCAUAAGUUUACUGACCCAGUGUUGUUGAGAAGAGUGUUGUUGAGAAGAAGAGAGAUGGCGCUGCUCUAACAGAUAUUUGAGUGUGUAGUGGUCCGUUCGAACGGUAAAUUCCCGACCCCAAAGAUAAGAAUGCCAAUGUUCGAUUGCCUUCACCAACCCGAUCAUCUCUCCUUCAUACGCCGGAAGGUUCUGAUGACGUACUGCCAUUGAACGGCUAAAGUAUGCCACUGGUUUGUUUUGCUGUAACAGAACAGCUCCGAUUCCUGUACCCGAGGCGUUACAUUCUAUGACAAAGGUUAGUUCAAAAUCAAGGAGAACCAAGAUUGGAGUUGAUGUCAUUGCCUCUUUCAAUUUGUCGAAUGCCGCCUCAGCCUCUUCAGUCCAACGAAAACUGUUUUCCGCAACAUAGCUGUGAGUGGAGCGGCAAUGAUUCCGUAGUUUUGGACAAAUUUGCGGUAGUAACCCGUAAGCCCUAAGAAUCCUCUCAAACCACGAAUUGUGUUGGGCUUGGGCCAAUCUAGGACUAAUGAUAUUUUGGACUGAUCCACCUGGACUCCAUUAUGAGAAAUAAUAUGACCCAAAUAUGAAACUUGAGUCUGGCCAA